CCUACGGGUGGCAGCAGUGGGGAAUAUUGCGCAAUGGGCGAAAGCCUGACGCAGCGACGCCGCGUGAGGGAUGAAGGUCUUCGGAUCGUAAACCUCUAUCAGCAGGGAAGAACGGUCACUGUGCUAAUCAGCAGUGCAUUGACGGUCCCUGCAAAGGCAGCACCGGCUAACUCCGUGCCAGCAGCCGCGGUAAUACGGAGGGUGCGAGCGUUAACCGGAAUUACUGGGCGUAAAGCGCUCGUAGGCGGUAGGUCAAGUCAGGGGUGAAAUCCCCGCGCUCAACGUGGGAACUGCCUUUGAAACUGGGAAGCUGGAGUGUGGGAGAGGAUAGUGGAAUUCCAGGUGUAGGAGUGAAAUGCGUAGAUAUCUGGAGGAACAUCAGUGGCGAAGGCGACUAUCUGGAACAUAACUGACGCUGAGGAGCGAAAGCGUGGGUAGCAAACAGGAUUAGAUACCACUGUAGUC
rnacentral:rRNA from 1 species